GAGGGUAUGGCUCAGUGGUAGAGCAUGUGCUUAGCAUGCAUGAGGUCCUGGGUUCAAUCCCCAGUACCUCCA
rnacentral:tRNA from 1 species